GCCCGUAUAGCUCAGUGGUAGAGCGCAUCACUCGUAUUCCAAUCUGCGAUAUGAUGAGGUCCGCGGUUCAAUCCCGCGUGGGGGCA
rnacentral:tRNA from 1 species